GUCAAAAAGUGGCGGACACACAGCGUCAAGUUUGGUGUGUAAAUAAAAGGCGAGGAGCGAAGCCUGCAAUGUGCGCCGCGACGGAGGCUACACGGCUGGAAUGCAGGAGAGAUUCCCCCACCGCACUGCACAAUUGGAGAGACCUUUACAGCAGCAGAGCGUCGCAAGGGACACCAAACCACUUGCAAGGGCGGCUCGUCAGGAUUAACGAGGCAAGAAGAAGCACCAUUUGGAAAAUAAUUAAAAUUUUCCUGCAGCGUAGAAGGCCAUUGUCGAUUUUCGGCACGAAGGAAACAUACACCCCACGCCAAUGUUUUUUGAAAGAACACAGUUCAUGUCACCACGUAAAAAAGGGGCAAGGAGAAUCUGAAACACACGCGCAUGAUUGCGUCGUGUAGUCGCAAAUCAACAUUUUGUAAAAUGUUUGCACACACGUGAUAGGGACGUGAAAUUGGUUUCGAGGCCCAAACACAUAAUACUGAAAGCCAAAUCACAGACGCACACACGCGCGUGCUCACGUACACACACGCACAC